rnacentral:rRNA from 1 species
ACUACGGGUGGCAGCAGUAGGGAAUAUUGCUCAAUGGGGGAAACCCUGAAGCAGCAACGCCGCGUGGAGGAUGAAGGUUUUCGGAUUGUAAACUCCUUUUGUUAGAGAAGAUAAUGACGGUAUCUAACGAAUAAGCACCGGCUAACUCCGUGCCAGCAGCCGCGGUAAUACGGAGGGUGUAAGCGUUACUCGGAAUCACUGGGCGUAAAGAGCGCGUAGGCGGGAUAGCAAGUCAGAUGUGAAAUCCUAUGGCUUAACCAUAGAACUGCAUUUGAAAAUGUUAUUCUAGAGUAUGGGAGAGGUAGGUGGAAUUCUUGGUGUAGGGGUAACAUCCGUAGAGAUCAAGAGGAAUACUCAUUGCGAAGGCGACCUGCUAGAACAUAACUGACGCUGAUGCGCGAAAGCGUGGGGAGCAAACAGGAUUAGAUACCCUUGUAGUC